rnacentral:SRP_RNA from 1 species
GCUAGGUGUGGAGGUGCACACCUGUAGUCCUAGCUCUCUGGGAGGCUGAGGUGGGAGAAUCGUUUGAGUCUAGGAGUUUGAGGGUGCAGUGAGCUAUGAUCAGACCACUGCACUCCAGCCUAGGCAACAGAGUAAGACCCUGUCUCAU